UACGAAGGGGGCUAGCGUUGUUCGGAAUUACUGGGCGUAAAGCGCGCGCAGGCGGUCUUCCAAGUCAGUGGUGAAAGCCCGGAGCUCAACUCCGGAACUGCCAUUGAAACUGUGAGACUUGAGUAUGAGAGAGGUGAGUGGAAUUCGCAGUGUAGAGGUGAAAUGCGUAGAUAUUGGGAGGAACACAGGUGGCGAAGGCGGCUCAAUGGCUCAUUACUGACGCUGAGGCGCGACAGCGUGGGGAUCAAACAGG
rnacentral:rRNA from 1 species